rnacentral:rRNA from 1 species
UACGUAGGGUCCAAGCGUUAUCCGGAAUCACUGGGCGUAAAGCGUGCGUAGGUGGCGCGUUAAGUGUGAUGUUAAAUCGCGGGGCUCAACCCUGUCGAUGCAUCGCAUACUGGCGUGCUAGAGGACGGCAGAGGCAAGUGGAAUUGGUAGUGUAGCAGUGAAAUGCGUAGAUAUUACCAGGAACACCAAUGGCGAAGGCAGCUUGCUGGGCUACUCCUGACACUGAGGUACGAAAGCGUGGGGAGCGAACAGG